AUUGAACGCUGGCGGCAGGCCUAACACAUGCAAGUCGAACGAGUGGCGGACGGGUGAGUAAUGUCUGGGAAACUGCCUGAUGGAGGGGGAUCACUACUGGAAACGGUAGCUAAUACCGCAUACCAUCAGAUGUGCCCAGAUGGGAUUAGCUAGUUGGUGGGGUAACGGCUAACCAGGGCGACGAUCCCUAGCUGGUCUGAGAGGAUAACCAGCCACAAUGGAACGGAGACACGGUCCAGACUCCAACGGGAGGCAGCAGUGGGGAAUAUUGCACAAUGUGCGCAAGCCUGAUGCAGCCAUGCGGGGUGUAUGAAGAAGGCCUUCGGGUUGUAAAGUACGUGCAGCGGGGAGGCGUUACCCGCAGAAGAAGCACCGGCUAACUCCGUGCCAGCAGCCGCGGUAAUAC
rnacentral:rRNA from 1 species